rnacentral:lncRNA from 1 species
GUUAUAUCAGUACACAUGUAACGUGUAUUAUAUUAUUAUCAAGCGGAUAGCCAACACUGCAACCGCAGUUGACGUUGGACAAGCCCCACCACCACAAGUGAUGUCAGCCUCUCACCGGGCUCAAGAAGAUGCGGCGAUCCAGAAACCUUGAAGUACCUACUCCGUCCCUGCCCAGCUCUCGCCAAGGACCGCUUCAAGGCAACAACACCUACAGGAAACAAGGCAUCGCUGCUGCAACCCUCACAGGCUUGAUGUUCCCGGCGCGCCUACACUCUCCAUGCAUGACUCAGCCUUCUGGAGUUCGUAGAAACAAUCGAGAUCACCAGCCAGUCUCAAAUGGUGAACCAGCGAAGCUUAAACGUGCGGUCCCGGUGUUCUUCAUUGCGCAUGGAUUACCAAGGAAGGUUCAAUAAAGUAUUUCUCAAUUACUG